ACAACAACAAAAUAUUGACAAGUUUAAAACUUUAUUUAACAAUACACAACAUUCAAUGAGUUUUUUAUGUAGCAUCAUCUCCAUCUUCAGUCCUAGGACCAUCAUCGCCGGCACUUGGGGAAGGAGGAGGAGACCGGGGAAUGGGGAAAGCACCACUAGCAAGAAGAUUGGCCAGCUGACCUUGAAGGAGAUCAAAUUGUUCGGUCCUCCUUUCUAGCUGAGUUUGAAGGGUAUCAAAUUGUUCGUCCCUCCUUUCUAGUUGAACUUGAAGGGUAUCAAAUCUCUUUUUUUUCUCUAGCCUUGGUCUCUUCAAGCUCUGAUGUCAGUUUUGCGAUCUUCUGUUCCAUAGACUGUAUAGUCGAACUAACAAUCGCCUCGCCUUGGGCGGAAGUCCCUGCACCUUGCAAUCCAGCCCUGUAGCGCCGAAACGAUUUAUCUGAAAGGCCGUAUGCUAUCCCUUUUUUAGGACCGCCGACAGUAUCCAACCAUAUCCUUUCCUCUUCUUUGUCUGAAAUGGGCGGUCGCUCGCCUUGCUCAUUCGGUGGCAAGCUCUGAGUGUACUCCUCCAAAUUGAUCUUGCAGCAACCCUUUAUUUAGAAGAUAGAAAAUUACUAACUAUAUAAUAUAAUAAAUAUUUAUAGUAGUUAUGAAACUUAUAUAUGUAGUCUCCGCCCGGUCCUCGACCCUUCUAGUUGGAUCUGUCGGUGCCUUCUUCUUCCGAAUGUGAAUCUCCAUGAAGAACUCAUCAUGACUCAUCUUCCUCCCCAAUUAUUUUUCCUACAAAUAUAAUAAACAUGUUAACGAAAGCUGUAGCUAUACUCGCAUUUUGUUGUAAAAGCAGAGUGCAAUUUAAGAAAUAGGAUUUUUAAGUAACUAGAUCGUUGAGAGAAACAUAGAAUAAAAAAUACAACAUGAAGCUGCAGGUGACAAGCUUCUGUGGUGAAAGUGUUUAAACAUAUUAUAGGUCUCGUGCAAUCUGAAAAUAGACACAUCACAAACUUUUGUGUUUUUUACUCCUAUCACAUAAAGAACUAUCUCAACUCCUAUUUAAUGAAUAUAAAACGUGAAAAAUAUGCAGUUUAAAACAAGAACAGAUUUGGGCCAUGCAACCUCAAGUAUAAGUAAAUGACUUUAGCGUGACUUAUACUAAUUUUUUGAAGUUUGAGCCGCAAAGGCCAAAUAUCUAGUUCAUUUGCACGAUAACUAACAGAAAAACCACGGGUCAAUUCGGUGACUACUCCAACGGACUGCUAAAUGACUAAUAUUCUAGACCACAAAAGUUUAUAACCUCUUCUCCUACAAACUAAUACCACAAAACCUUUUGACUUUGUUACUUGAAGAAAAAUGCAUCGUAAUUCCAGUUUAGUCAGAAAAUUAUGAAUUAAUUGAGUAAGUAUCCAAUGCCUAUAAAUAGACUUCUUCAAACAUGGAACAAUUAACUUCAAACAUGGAACAAUUAAGGAUGAGAACAAAUAAAUUGAGUAAGUGUCCAAUGCCUAUAAAUAGAUAACCCUCACUUUUACGUUCUGUUAUAGCUCCAAAACAAGUCACUUAGCUAAUUAGAGAGCAAAAACAAUGUGUUUCCACCAACAGCCGAUAUCACAUAAAGAAAAAGAGUGAAUUGAUUAUUUUUAGUAUAAACUCCAAACAAGUAUUUCUGCUAAUGCUUACAACUUGUAUAGAUUAUUGGGAUAGUUCGGAGAGGAUUGUGGAUAAGCUAACUAUACAUUAUGUAUGCAAUUUUUUUUUAGGACGGUGGUGUUCAAGCCAACUUAAGCUCACCUUGACUAUUUCACCGCGUACCUAUUACCUC
rnacentral:lncRNA from 1 species